GCGACCCCAGGGUGGGC
rnacentral:rRNA from 1 species